UACAGAGGGUGCAAGCGUUAAUCGGAAUUACUGGGCGUAAAGCGUGCGUAGGUGGUUUGCUAAGUCAGGUGUGAAAUCCCCGGGCUCAACCUGGGAACUGCAUUUGAUACUGGCAAACUAGAGUGUGGUAGAGGGUAGUGGAAUUCCCGGUGUAGCGGUGAAAUGCGUAGAUAUCGGGAGGAACAUCAGUGGCGAAGGCGGCUACCUGGACCAACACUGACACUGAGGCACGAAAGCGUGGGUAGCAAACAGG
rnacentral:rRNA from 1 species